ACGUACACUCCUACGGGAGGCAGCAGUGGGGAAUAUUGCACAAUGGGCGCAAGCCUGAUGCAGCCAUGCCGCGUGUAUGAAGAAGGCCUUCGGGUUGUAAAGUACUUUCAGCGGGGAGGAAGGCGAUAAGGUUAAUAACCUUGUCGAUUGACGUUACCCGCAGAAGAAGCACCGGCUAACUCCGUGCCAGCAGCCGCGGUAAUACGGAGGGUGCAAGCGUUAAUCGGAAUUACUGGGCGUAAAGCGCACGCAGGCGGUCUGUCAAGUCGGAUGUGAAAUCCCCGGGCUCAACCUGGGAACUGCAUUCGAAACUGGCAGGCUAGAGUCUUGUAGAGGGGGGUAGAAUUCCAGGUGUAGCGGUGAAAUGCGUAGAGAUCUGGAGGAAUACCGGUGGCGAAGGCGGCCCCCUGGACAAAGACUGACGCUCAGGUGCGAAAGCGUGGGGAGCAAACAGGAUUAGAUACCCUUGUAGUCCCAUGAU
rnacentral:rRNA from 1 species